ensembl:lncRNA
CCCAACCCAGGGAUCAAAGCCAUGUCUCCUGCAUUGCAGACGGAUUCUUUGCUCACUGAACCACCUGGGAAGCCCCAGAUGGAAAUAAGGAACACGUUAUUGGACAUUGGAAGAAGGAUAAUCGUUUUAUAAAAGGGCAGUGAAUUUAGCUGAAUUGUGUUGGAGUGUUCUGUGGAUGGUAGAAACAUAAGUGAUGAACUUGGGGGUUCAUCUGAGGACAUUUCUAAGCAAAGGGUUCAAGGUGCGACUCAAUUUUCUCUUGUUGCUUGUAGUAAAAUGUGAGAGGAGAAAACUGAAGAAGAAAAUGUUAAGCAAAAAGGAACCAGAAAGUGAAAAGAUCUGGAAAGUUCUCAGCCUAUCCUUUUUGCAAAAAUAUGAAGAGGAACAUUCCAGAGAUAACAUCAAGGGUACAGCCAAACAAUCCCUUGAUGAAGAAAUGUGGACGAGAUUAGGACACACGAAGAAACAUCAGGGAUCCACACGCAUAAGGAAAGACCAGGUGAAGACACAGAGAAGGUGACAUCUUCAAGCCAAGGAGAGAGGCCCAGAAAAUACCAAACCUGCUGGCACCUCCAUCCUGAACUGAGAGGAAAUUUAUUUUUGUUAUUCAGGCCAUCCUGGCUGUGGUGUUUUGUUAUAGCAACCCCAGAAAACCAGUACACCGCUGGUUAUCUUUUCACUUUUGUGUGUGUGUGGCUACACUGCGCAGUCUACGGGAUCUUAGGUCCCCGACUGGGGAGUGAAACUGUGCGCGCUGCAUUGGGAGUGCAGAGUCUUAACCUCUGGACUGCCUGGAGAAGGGAUUGGCUACCUACUCCAGUAUUCUUGCCUGGAGAACUCCAUGGACAGGGGAGCUUGGCGGGCUACAGCCUGUGAGGUUGCAAAGAGUUGGACAUGACUGAAGGACUAACACUUUCACGUUGCAACGCUCAGUUCAGUUCAGUGGCUCAGUCAUGUCUGACUCUCUGCGACCCCAGGGACUGCACCGCGCCAGGCUUCCCCAUCCAUCAGCAACUCCCAGAGCUUACUCAAACUCAUGUCCAUUGAGUCGGUGAUGCCAGCCAACCAUCUCAUCCUCUGUCGUCCCCUUCUCCUCCUGCCUUCAGUCUUUCCCAGCAUCAGGGCCUUUUCCAAUGAGUCAGUUCUUCACAUCAGGUGGCCAAAACACUCAGAAUGAUAGAAAUUACCCUAAAAAUUGACCAACCAGUUUUGUCUGUUUCAUUUCCAUGGCAUUCCUAAUAGGUUCAUAUUUUGCU